GAACGCACAUUGCGCCCGCCAGUAUUCUGGCGGGCAUGCCUGUUCGAGCGUCAUUUCAACCCUCAAGCCCCAGCGGCCUGGUGUUGGGGACCGGCGACCUCGCCCGAGCCCGCCCUCCGGGGCGCGUGCCCGGUGCGUCCGCCGCCCCCGAAAUGAAUUGGCGGCCUCGUCGCGGCCUCCUCUGCGUAGUAGCACAACCUCGCAAGCGGGAGCGCGACGCGGCCACUGCCGUAAAACGCCCAACUUUUUUAGAGUUGACCUCGGAUCAGGUAGGAAUACCCGCUGAACUUAAG
rnacentral:misc_RNA from 1 species